rnacentral:misc_RNA from 1 species
AAGUCGUAACAAGGUUUCCGUAGGUGAACCUGCGGAAGGAUCAUUAACACGUAUCCAACGUUAAACCCCCCUGUGAACUUUUAUACUUGCUCUCUUAACUGACGGAAUUGCAAUCCCUGGUAAAUCAUUGUUGAACAGAUUUUGAUUCAGGGACCUCAGUUUGGCAGUGCCUGGUUUCCCCAAGCAGUCAGUGUCUGAAAGUGGCAUUGAUUGUGUAAGGAUAACGCUUUUCGAUCACUAGAGGCCGACACCGGCCGGUGACCAGGUCGCCGUGGCUUCGGCCCCCUAUAUUAACCCCACUACCUGAUUCCGCCUCGUAGGAAACUGCUGGGCAACAAAACGAACAACUGUUAACAAUGGAUAUCUUGGUUCUC